AGAAACGUGCCUGAAAGAUAAGGAACUCCUUGAUAGGGAGAACCAUAGGGGCUCAAAUCCCCUCGUUUCU
rnacentral:tRNA from 1 species